GAGGCUGUGGCUCAGUGGUAGAGCGCUCGCCUAGCAUGUGUGGAGCACUGGGUUCGAUCCUCAGAACCACA
rnacentral:tRNA from 1 species